rnacentral:scRNA from 1 species
GCUCAGGUAUAGAGUGUCUGCCCAGUGUACCCAAGGUCCUGGGUUUGAUUCUCAGUGCCAGAAAGGAGAAAAAGAA